rnacentral:rRNA from 1 species
AUUGAACGCUGGCGGCAUGCUUUACACAUGCAAGUCGAACGGUAACAGGGAGCUUACUCCGCUGACGAGUGGCGAACGGGUGAGUAAUGCGUCGGAACGUGCCGAGUAGUGGGGGAUAACGCAGCGAAAGUUGUGCUAAUACCGCAUACGUACUGAGGUAGAAAGUGGGGGACCUUCGGGCCUCACGCUAUUCGAGCGGCCGACGUCUGAUUAGCUAGUUGGUGAGUUAAAGGCUAACCAAGGCGACGAUCAGUAGCGGGUCUGAGAGGAUGAUCCGCCACACUGGGACUGAGACACGGCCCAGACUCCUACGGGAGGCAGCAGUGGGGAAUUUUGGACAAUGGGCGCAAGCCUGAUCCAGCCAUGCCGCGUGUCUGAAGAAGGCCUUCGGGUUGUAAAGGACUUUUGUCCGGGAGCAAAUGCUGGUGGCUAACAUCCACCGGAGCUGAGAGUACCGGAAGAAUAAGCACCGGCUAACUACGUGCCAGCCGCCGCCGUAAUAC